rnacentral:lncRNA from 1 species
CACACAACUGUCGUUUCCAACUGUUGUGGAACCUUCUGGUUGCAAAAUUCCAUCCCUCACAUAGUAACAAGAGAGUCAAAACAGUCCCUCCCUCCAGAGCUUUGAUCACACAACAGUUUUGUAACCAUGUUCUCUCAGAAAGUUCCAUAGUCCACCCAUCUGGAACAAAAUAGUGAUUUCCAGAAAGGAUAUGGGUCAAUGACAGUGUGGGAAGAAACAAGAAAAAUCAAUAACCUACAUUUUAAUGUGAAAUGACAACAUGUUUAACAACAGACUUCCCAGGCAUGCUUCAGGAGAGAAUGCGAGAACAUAAUUUUAGAACCAGAAGGAAACUUAGAGAUGAUGAGAACUUAACACUGGAUUUCACAGGUGAGAAAUGGAGACCCUGACUGGAGAACUUUCUUGGGUCACACAACUAGUUAUCCACUUUCAGCUUGGUCUUCUUUCAAUCUUCAUUUGCCUCCUAAAUAAAAGAUCUGCUGGCUCGGACUCAAUGUUUGGCCCAGUGUCUCAUGUUGUAAUAGCCUCCAUCUUCAGUCGGGCACAGUCGCUCACGCCUGUAAUCCCAGCACUUUGGGAGGCUGAGGCGGGCAGAUCACCUAAGGUCAGGAGUUCAAGACCAGCCUGACCAAUGUGGUGAAACCCCGUCUCUACUAAAAAUACAAACAUUAGCCAGGCGUGGUGGUGCACACCUGUAAUCUCAGCUACUUGGGUGGCUGAGGCAGGAGAAUCGCUUGAACCUGAGAGGCAGAGGUUGCAGUGAGCCAAGAUGGCGUCAUUGCACUCCAGCCUGGGCAACAAGAGCAAAACUUCAUCCCCUGCCGGCCAAAAACAAUAAAAUAAAAUAAAAUAAAUAAAUAAAUGAAAUAGGCUCCAUCUCC